AUUGAACGCUGGCGGCAGGCCUAACACAUGCAAGUCGAACGAAGUGGCGGACGGGUGAGUAACACGUGGGAACGUGCCUUUAGGUUCGGAAUAACUCAGGGAAACUUGUGCUCAUACCGAAUGCCUUUCGAGCGGCCCGCGUCUGAUUGGCUAGUUGGUGAGGUAAAGGCUCACCAAGGCGACGCUCAGUAGCUGGGCGGAGAGGAUGAUCAGCCACCUUGGGACUGAGACACGGCCAAAACUCCUACGGGAGGCAGCAGUGGGGAAUCUUGCGCAAUGGGCGAAAGCCUGACGCAGCCAUGCCGAGGGAAUGAUGAAGGUCUUAGGAGGGUAAAAUUCUGUCACCGGGGACGCGGUACCCGGAGAAGAAGCCCCGGCUAACUUCGUGCCAGCCGCCGCGGUAAUUC
rnacentral:rRNA from 1 species